rnacentral:rRNA from 1 species
AGUGAACGCUGGCGGUAGGCCUAACACAUGCAAGUCGAACGGCAGCACAGUAAGAGCUUGCUCUUACGGGUGGCGAGUGGCGGACGGGUGAGGAAUACAUCGGAAUCUACUUUUUCGUGGGGGAUAACGUAGGGAAACUUACGCUAAUACCGCAUACGACCUACGGGUGAAAGCAGGAGAUCUUCGGACCUUGCGCGAUUGAAUGAGCCGAUGUCGGAUUAGCUAGUUGGCGGGGUAAAGGCCCACCAAGGCGACGAUCCGUAGCUGGUCUGAGAGGAUGAUCAGCCACACUGGAACUGAGACACGGUCCAGACUCCUACGGGAGGCAGCAGUGGGGAAUAUUGGACAAUGGGCGCAAGCCUGAUCCUGCCAUACCGCGUGGGUGAAGAAGGCCUUCGGGUUGUAAAGCCCUUUUGUUGGGAAAGAAAAGCAGCAGGUUAAUACCCCGCUGUUCUGACGGUACCCAAAGAAUAAGCACCGGCUAACUUCGUG